UCUGAUGGCGAGUGGCGAACGGGUGAGUAAUAUAUCGGAACGUGCCCUAGAGUGGGGGAUAACUAGUCGAAAGACUAGCUAAUACCGCAUACGAUCUAAGGAUGAAAGUGGGGGAUCGCAAGACCUCAUGCUCGUGGAGCGGCCGAUAUCUGAUUAGCUAGUUGGUGGGGUAAAAGCCUACCAAGGCAACGAUCAGUAGCUGGUCUGAGAGGACGACCAGCCACACUGGGACUGAGACACGGCCCAGACUCCUACGGGAGGCAGCAGUGGGGAAUUUUGGACAAUGGGGGCAACCCUGAUCCAGCAAUGCCGCGUGAGUGAAGAAGGCCUUCGGGUUGUAAAGCUCUUUUGUCAGGGAAGAAACGGUUCUGGAUAAUACCUGGAGCUAAUGACGGUACCUGAAGAAUAAGCACCGGCUAACUACGUGCCAGCAGCCGCGGUAAUACGUAGGGUGCAAGCGUUAAUCGGAAUUACUGGGCGUAAAGCGUGCGCAGGCGGUUGUGUAAGUCAGAUGUGAAAUCCCCGGGCUCAACCUGGGAAUUGCAUUUGAGACUGCACGGCUAGAGUGUGUCAGAGGGGGGUAGAAUUCCACGUGUAGCAGUGAAAUGCGUAGAUAUGUGGAGGAAUACCGAUGGCGAAGGCAGCCCCCUGGGAUAACACUGACGCUCAUGCACGAAAGCGUGGGGAGCAAACAGGAUU
rnacentral:rRNA from 1 species